AACUUUCAACAACGGAUCUCUUGGUUCUGGCAUCGAUGAAGAACGCAGCAAAAUGCGAUAAGUAAUGUGAAUUGCAGAAUUCAGUGAAUUAUCGAAUCUUUGAACGCACAUUGCGCCCGCCAGUAUUCUGGCGGGCAUGCCUGUUCGAGCGUCAUUUC
rnacentral:rRNA from 1 species